CAGCCAAUCAGUGAUCGGAGGAGUGUCAGGGGCGGGGUUCCCAUGUUGCGCUAUGGAAAAUUGUUAGGGGAUACACUGUGACAAACAUGCGCUCUGAGAUUGAUAAUAUCCAGAAUAAGGCCAAAACGGGAACCUGGCGGAGUGAAUAUUCAGCGAGGGCCGGAACUGGGUGGCGCCGGCCAGGAUGAGGCACACAUUUCUUCAGCACAGAUGGAGGAAAGGCUUGAGCUAAACACGUAAAUGAAACUGCGUCAGCGUGAAGUCCGACAAGCCACAUGAAAUCCAGUGGGAAUUUCCACUGCGAGGGAUGAAACUCGCUGCGACGGCAUGUCAGUCUGCUUGUUGUUGCUCUAAAAGUCGACUUUUGUCCGAUUUUAAUGACUAAAUGUGGAUGUAAACAAAGCGUGGAAUCGGCAGGGAUGGCGUGUCAAGGAAGAGCUCGGAAUAGGAUGCUGCGCAAGAGAUGGAUAGUGCGUAAUCCUGUUGUGGGAGAGAACGAUGUUACGCAGUACAUAUUACCACAAUCAUUCACCGCCCCGUGGCCUUACGGGCUAUGUUUAUUCUGUUACCGACAUUCCACGACACUGUUAUUAAAUAAAAGAAAAAUACUCAUUCUUGAGAUACGCAAUUAAACGUGGUUUAAAUUCGAUGCGAGAGGACUGUGCUGUUGUUCGCGUCUUUUCAGAGGAAAUACAAACUCAGUGAUGACGCAGCUUUAUUUAAGUUUCCGUUGUCUAUCAGGAUUUUGCUGCGUCACACAGAUCUCAAGAGUCUGAAAUAGUAAUCUGUCUUUAUAGUGCGCACUUGAUAUGUUCAAAACAAGAUGUGCUUCCCGAAUGUAGGGGGCGUUGUUGAGUAAAAUACUAAUUGGACCAAAUGAUCUGCUGCACUCCUCUUUAUUUCUCAUUGUUUGUCUUUCUUGGUCUGUUUAACACGUUUAAUUUUAAUAAAAUUAAAAUGAAUUGCACAUUCUUUAAGCUAUUUUUCAGCUGAAUUGUACCUUGAUUUUACUCCUUUUGCUAUUUAGUUGUGAACCACUUAGCAAAUUUACUCCCUUAGACAUUGAAAAUCAUCCCUACAUGGCACAAAAUGAGUUAAAAGUAACUUAUGAAGUGACACUAUUGUGGGUGGCACAUACACUGCGGGCCUCUAAUUUAACUUGAUUCAACUGUGAUGUUCGAAGGUGUGGUGCUUCCUGCUGCUCACCUGCCAAAAAAAGAUAGGAACGAAGAGCUUCGUCACUUAUCACAGUGCCUGAGGUGAAAAUGAGAAAGGUAGGGGCGGCUAACACCAUCCUGUCGAGUGGAUUUGUUCAGUCAUCAGCUGAAUCACCAAUAGAGCUUAUGAGUUGCAAAACCACUGGCAAGCAAAUGUAAGAAGAGAGGCUGAGAGAGAGAGAGAAAGGGAGGGAAGAAUACCUUUAGAGCUUUAAUUAUGUUCGCUGAAUAGAAACUUGACUCCUGGAGGUAAUGGUAUUAUGGCAGUUUUUAACCAAACACAUCAAGGUUCCAGUAAGAGGUAUAAUUCGAUCAGAGACUAAGUGACAAGGUUUGCCACUAUGUUUUUACAUGUUUUCAAAUGCAUAUAUUAUACUAUGUGCCGUACAUUAGGUGAGCUGGCCUGGAAAACCGCAUUGUUCCAUGUUUUAUGGCUUGUGAGGAUCAGCCAUCAUGUUUACCGGGAGUUUCUAGGCUGACCAGUGGAACAAGUGACCCAGUUUCCCAAACAAGGAAGUGUGACCUCAAUAGUUAUUUUGUUAUCCUUUUGCGGUGAGGUGCAGCCUCUCAAGUCAAGCAAAUAGACACAACAUAGUUUUAAUCACAGUUUUGGGGGCAAAUUUUGCCAGCAGUAGAUGUAGUUAGAACAAGAACGCAGUCUCUGCUUAAAAUUCAGCUGAUGCUGUUGGUUUAAAAUGAGCAAAGACAUACUUCAAAGACUAAAGUAGCACUGUGAAUAUCCUGAAAAAUGUGUUUGCAGCUCAGGGCCAGCAUCACCUGUGGGCAACAUAGACCAUCAGAGAAAAUGGCGAGCGACCCACUGGCUCUCAAAACAGAUCCCUCCUACGCUCAGAUUAUAGAAUGGGAAGUGGCACAGGGCCGAGAGAUGACAGUGCUAAAAUUAAACCCGGUGCACUGCUGGCCUUGCUACAUGACGGUGUAUUAAUAGACAAGUGUGAGGCAGCAUUUGUUCGCAGGUAGACACCUUAUGUGAUCCAGAACUGUUUUCCAAACAGUUCUGGAUCACAGUUAGCAACUGUGAUGUAACCCAAGAGGCCGCUCUGUGCUCCAAUUAUUUAAUUGCUUGUUUUUCUUUCUGUAGGCUUGUCUUCUGAGUACCUAAAAUGGACAUCAAGUUGCAAAUUAGGCAAAUAAGAUUGUUUUUGUCCCUUCUGUGUUUAUAAAGGUGCUCCCAGUUUCAGAAACUGGAGACCCAGUUUACUUUCUGAAGAUGCCCUGAAGCAGCUAGCUUAACACAUUACGCCACCUUCUUUAUCAACAAAACAUCCGAUAUAUCCCAGCUGGCAGCAUAGGAGCCAAAAGAUUGUGACAACAUGUAAAUCAACUCCUCGAUGUGUGGUAGUUAUUUCCAUCCAUUGUGCAUUCGGGUCGAACAAACAGUGUCAGGCUGUUCUGAGCAUGUCGAGGCUCUCACUUCUACAAAUAUUUCACAAUCCCUAGCCCCUUAAGAGACAAUGAUGCAACUCAGAAGGUUAAACUCAAGAUCCUUUUAUGAUCCAAACAUUUGGUGUGUUUGAGUUUUUCUUCCAAAUGGGCCGAGUCAUCAGGAAGUGACAUCUGAUUGGUACUUUUGCAUCAUGUGAUUGUUUUUCAGAUUAAUCAGUGUAAUUAAAACUGUAUAUAUGUAUACUUACAAAUUAACAUUUGUCAAAUAAGGUCUUCAGAUUCACAUCUUGACUCACUUUGCUGCACAAUUGUCAGGAGGUAGUUUAAAAACACAUUACCUUGAUAAGGUUGCCUCUCUCACUCCUGAUAAAUUAGGACCUAUAAUCUGUAAGAGGAUUAACCACCUACACUGUUUACACGUGCACACAUGCACACUGCUCCGCCCCAUGCUGUUAUGCACACGUAACACAAGGUUGCACAUAUGCAGGCAUUCACUGUUGAUUUUACGUCACCUGUUCCAAUGGGACCAAACCCAGUGACUCUCUACUGGUGACAUCAAUUACCUACUGACAGCCUGCACUGCAUAAUGCAGUGAUGUAUUUGUUCAUCAAAGCUGGUUAGACAGCACCAGAAUAAGUCUUUUUUUUUUUUAAACAAAAAUGUAUUUGGUUUGCUUCUAUUAUUUCACUUUAAGUGAAUUCUUUUGUUUUAUUUCCAUCUGUUCUGUGUUAAAAGUGAGCAGUGUAUUCAGUUUGAUGUCGUUCCAAAUCAAACUAAUGGUUGCGUAAGUUCCUUUUGUUUUGAUUUUUAAAGGGGCUGAUGUGCCUUUAACAAGCAGUGGAUGGUCAGGUGACUCGGCAGAAAAAAAUAAAACAGCUUCGAUGCAGUGAGAAGCCUCUGCUCGCACAAGAAAGGGUGAAAGGGCUUGGAGUUAAAAGAACAAGGGAGCAGGAGGGAGGAACGCACAGUGACGUUCUCAGACCCCAAUGUUACGUGGCUCAUCAUAAUAAACGAGAAGGAGAUGGAUGUAAGAAGUGCUGCAGCCUUUAAACCACAAUGGCUGCCUGAGUUAUUCUUGAAGCUGACGCAGGAGACAUGUAAAUAGUGGCAGAUUCUAUCGAAUGCGAGAAUAUUUUUGGCCAAGGCACACAUCCGUAGGACUACGUGGCAGUAAUGAAAUGCCCAAUUUGAUUACCACUCCUCAAAAUACAUCCUCAAAAUCCAGUGCAGUAGUUUUUGUUUUAGAAGCCAUGACACUAAACUAAUAGCGAAGAAGAGAUUAGGAAGUAACCAACAGACACAUGAAAGUUUGGAGUAGUUGUUUUUUCCAUCAACAGGAUAACAAGGAGCCGGAGGCGCUGGCAGGCCAGGAUCAUUCCACAUUUAGUGCCAGACCUACAGAGUUCAAACCUGUUUUUUCUGACUUCAAUUACAUUCGACCCCAUUUGGACCAGGAGCAGCACCGGAUGGCUGAAGUUGCCCCAGGAGAAAACACAGUAUAUGCCAUCAUGCCUGACAAAGAAGUCUGUGGGAAAGAUCUAUUUUUCCACACCGUGAUUCACUGACAGUUUCUGCCAGGCUUGAUCUGUGUUUCCAUUUUGCUACUAUGCCCUACCAUCCCGAGAACUUGGCCAUCUGAUGCACUAACAAGCUGCUAAAACGUUGAGCUGAGUGUCUGUUUCCUUUUUAGGUUUAAGAAACUUAAACCUGAAACAUCAUCAGCUUGCCUAUUUUUCAACAAAAAUAUUUAUAUUGGCCAUAGUACACUAUGGACUAUGCCCAAAUUACAUAGUGUACAUGUAGAUGUAGAUGUCUGUUUUGAAAAAUAGACAUCUAUUUCUAAAAAAAAAAAAAAAUACAGGCUUGUGUUUAGUUUUUCAUUAUCAUACAUUCUUUAGUGAAAUUGCAGCUCUAUACUUAACCUUGAAGGCUGCUUAAGACAACGAGGAGCAGUUUGUUUUUCAUACUUUCAUAAAAGUAAAAAGUAGAUCAGCAUUCUCUGGAGAUAAAAUAGCUUCCUACUGUAAUUCAGCGAGAACAAAAAACAAACAGGCAAGAGAAUGCCAACAGCAUUCUCCUGCCCUAUUUGAUAAGUGGAAGAACAGAAUAAAAAAAAGAAAGAAUAUAAGACUGACAGUAGGUCAAUGAAGCUUUCACUGAUGUUGUUCGAUGUUGAUUAAAGUGUUCUGACAAUGCAAAAGUGAAGGUGCUGCAUUUCUAGGUCCAUCCUUGCAGAUAAAUCAUAAAACAUGUUGAAAACAACGACAUUAGUUUCUUUCCCUCCAGGUGUGCCAGAAGCUGUGUCGGCUUUAAAGUCCUCCUCCCCAGGGAACUGGUUUCAGAUGGUGUCUUAGAGUCUAAAAUCCCAUCUAGCACCAUUUGAAAUCGGUGUUCUUGAGCGGGAACAGACUUCACUUUAGCAAUCAGUGUAGGAUUGCUGUUUGGUUUGUGAUGGUGAUUUUCAAAACAAUUUAAAAUAGGGCCAGGAAUGGGUUGCAUAUUGACAGACUGCAUGGCUCUACAAAUCUUAAGCAUCAGCUAUUGAAUAGACAAGAUAAUAGGAAUUCAUUCUUCCAACCCUCUAACCAAGGCUGACCGUUUUCCUCUGGUGUUCAGAGUUUCCAUCAUGUCUAGCACCAUUUGAAAUCGGUUACAAUGUGGAGGGAAAAUCAACAUUUUGCUUCAGCUACAUUGUGAAUAUCCACCAAAGGCCACAAGAUGGCAGCAUUGCAUUUCAGUCAACCAAGCUGCAGCGCUGGAAGAAUCCCAAAAGCAGAAUUGAGGACCAUGUGCAGGUGCAAAUCUGAAUUGUUUUGAUGGAAUAAAAACGUAUUGUUGUUGUUGAAAAUUUUGUGCGAAUGUUUUUUUUUAUUAUUAUUUAUUGGGGAACAAAUCAAGUUACUUUCACUGUGUUUAAUGGUUUCUGUCUUGAUUCCCUUUUUGUAAUGUUUAAUUAGAUAGAGAUUUUCUGGUUAAAUGCUUCAGUGGUCUGGAAGCUGUGCCAUCAGGCUUGUGCAACAUUUUCUAAUGUAUGCUUGAAUGGCUGAUUGUGUCCCUGUAGAACCUUGAUUUCAUUUUAUAAAUUGACUAUUUUACUCCUUA